rnacentral:rRNA from 1 species
UACGAAGGGGGCGAGCGUUGUUCGGAAUUACUGGGCGUAAAGGGCGCGUAGGCGGCGACCCAAGUCAGAUGUGAAAGUCCUGGGCUUAACCUGGGGACUGCAUUUGAUACUGGGUUGCUUGAAUUCGGGAGAGGAUAGCGGAAUUCCCAGUGUAGAGGUGAAAUUCGUAGAUAUUGGGAAGAACACCGAUGGCGAAGGCAGGUCUCUGGGCAUUAACUGACGCUGAGGAGCGAAAGCAUGGGGAGCGAACGAGG